rnacentral:lncRNA from 1 species
GGAAAUAACUUGAUAACGAUUUAUGUCCCAGAACAUAGGUUCCCUUUUCUAAAUAAUUUAUGCAGCAUAAGGAAGACUGUUGGCUAUUGGUCAGUCAGCUGCUGCCGUUCCCUGUAUUCUCUUUAUCUAAAUCAAAUAAACAUGGGUAGAAAAUGAACCUGGUUUUAGACCAAGGGUAUCUUCUUUUUUGUCUCUCUUUAGUGAUGCUUUUGGUAUUCAUUUACUUGUUGUUUAUUUAGCAAAACCAGUACAGUAGAGGGCCGGCAUUUAUCCUUAGAUUAUACUUUUAGUUAUCAAUAAUCAUGUGUUUUGAAAUAUAUUGUAUGGUAAUUAUUUUCUUUUAAAGCAUCAAAAUUUUGAAGAACAAAUGCAAGGCAUGAAGACCCAGUUAAUCCAGUUGAGCACCUUACUCAGAUUACUGGACAGUGGAUUUUGUAGCUAUUUAGAAUCCCAGGACUCUGGAUAUCUGUAUUUUUGCUUCAGAUGGCUUUUAAUCAGAUUUAAAAGGGAAUUUAGUUUUCUAGAUAUACUUCGAUUAUGGGAGGUAAUGUGGACUGAACUGCCCUGUAAGAAUUUUCAUCUUCUUCUGUGUUGUGCUAUCUUGGAAUCAGAAAAGCAACAGAUAAUGGAGAAGCAUUAUGGCUUCAAUGAAAUCCUUAA